GACUCCUCAGAUUUUCCUGUCUCUGCUAAGUACAAUACUACUUUGCAAGUAAGUCUGCUCCCCAAUCAAUCCUGGACCUUGAGUGUAAAGCAUCUGUACUAUUUCCAGCCCCCGAGUAAAUCCCGUUGGCCUGAAAAUGUGAGACACAGCCAGAUGUGUGUGGUUGUUCUAACAAGUGAUACCUACCGCCCCCAUCACCCCAAUAAACCCUUCCCAUGGGGCCCUCGAAGAUGACUUAUCAACACUCCAAAUGCAGCCUUCGAGGAGAGGACCACAAAACAGAACAAGAAAGUAUUUGGAGACGCUAAUCGCUGGCUCCAAAGAACCAGGAGUGUUUCCCGAUUCCUAAACAAAAGUGGGAAAACUAUCCUGCCCAGGUUUGCCUACUGUUAAUAAUCAAGAGAGUAGGACACAGAAGUGCUUCCUGUAACAAAGAGGCAAAUCGCAUUAGAGAGAAACUAAAGCCCAAGACACUGGGGAUUAAGCCAGAGUGGCCUCCGGAGACCCGGCCAGCCUCAACAGCAAAGAUUCAGAAGGAAGCUGGGGUUGGUCCCCACACAGAGGAGCCGCGGGUCUCAGGUGUGGAACGGCACAAAAUCCACUGGUACCAGGACACUUGGGUAUCCUCAGCUGAUCCCCAAAUCUGACCCCAGGGUCAAGCAAGUCAGGGCGGGGGUGAGCAGCCCCACCUUCUUUCCUGGCUAUUCCUGAAACUUCCCUAAUUCUUCCCCUAUCCCCUCAAACUUGCCCCCCCCAACCCAGACCCACAGUAAUUAAACCGAAGUAAAGUAAAAGAUGUCAAAAACAUGUAACCACAGGAAAUUAACGCGUAUGCAAAACAACUGGGGAGGGGGCAAACCUCAAGUCAGCCACUGGAAGCCCCUUUCCACAGUCUGAGCCCCUCCCCAGCUCAGCCCUUUGGCAACCGGGUGUUUGUGAAAGCGGGGUUCCAAGCCACAAAGGAGAUGGGGGAACUUAAGCAGGGAGACACCCUCCAUCUCUGGCGUCUUCGUCCGUGGAAGGUUAUUUUCAAGUGGAGGGGGAACCCCAGAGAAGAAAGGGCCCCUCUUCUCGGCCCCCUCUCCCAGGCUCUGGCCCCUCACCUUUCCCAAAAAGCCCGAGAGCCGGGCAUUUGCAACCCCUCCCCAACGCCCUGCUUCCCUGGAACCCAGUCACCCAAGUUUCCCGCCCCCAUCAGCUGCGCUCCCGAAGGGGGCCGGCUGAGGGCAGGGUGGGGAGCAGGCCCCGCCAGGCCGGCUGCGGGGAAGGGAGCGCGGCGUUCGGGGUGGCAAGGGACCCCGGGACCGCGGGCCCAACCCGCCCGAGCCCGGCGCUUCCCUCCGCCGGCCGGCCUCCCAGCCCGCCGGCCGCCCUCCCUGCCGCUCCCGCUCGCGUCCGCCGGCCCCGCGCGAUCCGAGCGGCCGCC
rnacentral:lncRNA from 1 species